AGUCCAACCAAACUCUUGUAUUAAACCAGUCGUCUGAGUAUAAAAUUUUAAUUAAAUUAAAACUUUCAACAACGGAUCUCUUGGUUCUCGCAUCGAUGAAGAACGCAGCGAAAUGCGAUAAGUAAUGUGAAUUGCAGAAUUCAGUGAAUCAUCGAAUCUUUGAACGCACAUUGCGCCCCUUGGUAUUCCGAGGGGCAUGCCUGUUCGAGCGUCAUUACACCACUCAAGCACUGCUUGGUAUUGGGCAUCGUCCGUCGAAAGGCGGGCGUGCCUCGAAGACCUCGGCGGGGUUUCUCCAACUUCGGGCGUAGUAGAGUUAAAUCAAAACGUCUUAUAAGCUUGGUGAGAUCUCAUUGCCGUUAAACCUUUUAUUUUUCAGGUUGACCUCGGAUCAGGUAGG
rnacentral:rRNA from 1 species